GAUGAACGCUGGCGGCGUGCCUAAUACAUGCAAGUCGAGCGAACGGACGAGAAGCUUGCUUCUCUGAUGUUAGCGGCGGACGGGUGAGUAACACGUGGAUAACCUACCUAUAAGACUGGGAUAACUUCGGGAAACCGUAGCUAAUACCGGAUAAUAUUUUGAACCGCAUGGUUCAAAAGUGAAAGACGGUCUUGCUGUCACUUAUAGAUGGAUCCGCGCUGCACUAUCUAGUUGGUAAGGUAACGGCUUACCAAGGCAACGAUGCAUAGCCGACCUGAGAGGGUGAUCGGCCACACUGGAACUGAGACACGGUCCAGACUCCUACGGGAGGCAGCAGUAGGGAAUCUUCCGCAAUGGGCGAAAGCCUGACGGAGCAACGCCGCGUGAGUGAUGAAGGUCUUCGGAUCGUAAAACUCUGUUAUUAGGGAAGAACAUAUGUGUAAGUAACUGUGCACAUCUUGACGGUACCUAAUCAGAAAGCCACGGCUAACUACGUG
rnacentral:rRNA from 1 species